rnacentral:rRNA from 1 species
GCACAAGCGGUGGAGCAUGUGGUUUAAUUCGAUGCAACGCGAAGAACCUUACCUGGUCUUGACAUCCCGGAGACCCUUAGGAAACUAGGGGUGCUUCCAUCUGGAAGAAUCUGGAGACAGGUGCUGCAUGGCUGUCGUCAGCUCGUGUCGUGAGAUGUUGGGUUAAGUCCCGCAACGAGCGCAACCCUUGCCUUUAGUUGCCAGCAGUUCGGCUGGGCACUCUAAAGGGACUGCCGGUGUUAAACCGGAGGAAGGUGGGGAUGACGUCAAGUCCUCAUGGCCUUUAUGACCAGGGCUACACACGUACUACAAUGGCCGAUACAAAGGGCAGCGACACUGCGAGGUGAAGCCAAUCCCGUAAAAUCGGUCUCAGUCCGGAUUGGAGUCUGCAACUCGACUCCAUGAAGUUGGAAUCGCUAGUAAUCGUGGAUCAGCAUGCCACGGUGAAUACGUUCCCGGGCCUU